CAUGCUUACACAUGCAAGUCGCACGGGCUGCUUUCGGGUGGUCAGUGGCGGACGGGUGAGUAACGCGUAGGAACAUGUCCAGGGGUGGGGGAUAACGCUGGGAAACUGGCGCUAAUACCGCAUGUGAGCUGAGGCUCAAAGCAGUGAUGCGCCUUUGGAGUGGCCUGCGUCCGAUUAGCUUGUUGGUGGGGUAAUGGCUUACCAAGGCGUCGAUCGGUAGCUGGUCUGAGAGGACGACCAGCCACACUGGGACUGAGACACGGCCCAGACUCCUACGGGAGGCAGCAGUGGGGAAUAUUGGACAAUGGGCGCAAGCCUGAUCCAGCAAUGCCGCGUGGGUGAAGAAGGUCUUCGGAUCGUAAAGCCCUUUCGACGGGGACGAUGAUGACGGUACCCGUAGAAGAAGCCCCGGCUAACUUCGUGCCAGCC
rnacentral:rRNA from 1 species